rnacentral:tRNA from 1 species
GCAGUGACGGUUCAGUGGUAGAAUUCUUGCCUUUCAUGUGGGAGACCUGGGUUCGAUUCCUGGCCAAUACA